GCCCGGAUGGCGGAAUCGGCAGACGCGGAGGCCUCAAAAGUCUUUACUCGAGAGGGUGUGUGGGUUCGAGUCCCACUCCGGGCA
rnacentral:tRNA from 1 species